rnacentral:rRNA from 1 species
UACGUAGGGGGCAAGCGUUGUCCGGAUUUACUGGGCGUAAAGAGCGUGUAGGCGGCCAAACAGGUCCGUUGUGAAAACUGGAGGCUUAACCUCCAGACGUCGACGGAAACCGUAUGGCUAGAGUCCGGAAGAGGAGAGUGGAAUUCCUGGUGUAGCGGUGAAAUGCGCAGAUAUCAGGAAGAACACCAAUGGCGAAGGCAGCUCUCUGGGACGGUACUGACGCUCAUGUACGAAAGCGUGGGGAGCAAACAGG